GUCUACGGCCAUACCACUCUGAACGUGCCCGAUCUCGUCUGAUCUCGGAAGCUAAGCAGGGUUGGGCCUGGUUAGUACUUGGAUGGGAGAAAUGAAGACAGAAAAUAUACUUGUAGCGC
ensembl:rRNA 5S_rRNA 5S ribosomal RNA